CCUACGGGGGGCAGCAGUAAGGAAUAUUGGUCAAUGGACGAAAGUCUGAACCAGCCAUGCCGCGUGGAGGAUGAAGGUCCUCUGGAUUGUAAACUUCUUUUAUAUGGGACGAAAAAAGGCUUUUCUAAGUCGUCUGACGGUACCAUAUGAAUAAGCACCGGCUAACUCCGUGCCAGCAGCCGCGGUAAUACGGAGGGUGCAAGCGUUAUCCGGAUUCACUGGGUUUAAAGGGUGCGUAGGUGGGUUGGUAAGUCAGUGGUGAAAUCCCCGAGCUUAACUUGGGAACUGCCAUUGAUACUAUUAAUCUUGAAUACCGUGGAGGUCGGCGGAAUAUGUCAUGUAGCGGUGAAAUGCUUAGAUAUGACAUAGAACACCAAUUGCGAAGGCAGCUGGCUACACGAGUAUUGACACUGAGGCACGAAAGCGUGGGGAUCAAACAGGCUUAGAUACCCGUGUAGUC
rnacentral:rRNA from 1 species